rnacentral:rRNA from 1 species
AGUGAACGCUGGCGGUAGGCCUAACACAUGCAAGUCGAACGGCAGCACAGUAAGAGCUUGCUCUUACGGGUGGCGAGUGGCGGACGGGUGAGGAAUACAUCGGAAUCUACUUUUUCGUGGGGGAUAACGUAGGGAAACUUACGCUAAUACCGCAUACGACCUACGGGUGAAAGCAGGGGAUCUUCGGACCUUGCGCGAUUGAAUGAGCCGAUGUCGGAUUAGCUAGUUGGCGGGGUAAAGGCCCACCAAGGCGACGAUCCGUAGCUGGUCUGAGAGGAUGAUCAGCCACACUGGAACUGAGACACGGUCCAGACUCCUACGGGAGGCAGCAGUGGGGAAUAUUGGACAGUGGGCGCAAGCCUGAUCCAGCCAUACUGCGUGGGUGAAGAAGGCCUUCGGGUUGUAAAGCCCUUUUGUUGGGAAAGAAAAGCAGCAGGUUAAUACCCCGCUGUUCUGACGGUACCCAAAGAAUAAGCACCGGCUAACUUCGUG